rnacentral:rRNA from 1 species
GAUGAACGCUGGCGGCGUGCCUAAUACAUGCAAGUCGAGCGCGCAGACUUGGAGCUUGCUCCUCUGACGUUAGCGGCGGACGGGUGAGUAACACGUGGAUAACCUACCUAUAAGACUGGGAUAACUUUUGGAAACCGGAGCUAAUACCGCAUAAUAUCUUUAACCGCAUGUUUUAAUUGUGAAAGAUGCUUUUGCUUUCCUCUAUAAUUGUAUCCGCUCCGCUUUAGCUAUUUGGUAAGGUAACGGCUUACCAAGGCAAGGAUGCGAAGCCGACCUGGAAGGGUGAUGGGCAAAACUGGAACUGAAAAACGGUCAAGACUCCAACGGAGGCAGGAAGAAGGAAAUCUUCCGAAAUGGGCAAAAGCUUGACGAAGAAAGGCCGCGGGAGGAAUGAAGGUCUUCGGAUCGAAAAACUUUGUUAUAAGGGAGGAAGAAAUGUGUAAGUAACAAUGCACGAAGUGACGGUAACUAAUCAGAAAGCCACGGCUAACUACGUG